rnacentral:rRNA from 1 species
UACGUAGGGUCCGAGCGUUGUCCGGAAUUAUUGGGCGUAAAGAGCUCGUAGGCGGUUUGUCGCGUCUGCUGUGAAAUCCCGAGGCUCAACCUCGGGUCUGCAGUGGGUACGGGCAGACUGGAGUGCGGUAGGGGAGAAUGGAAUUCCUGGUGUAGCGGUGGAAUGCGCAGAUAUCAGGAGGAACACCGAUGGCGAAGGCAGUUCUCUGGGCCGUAACUGACGCUGAGGAGCGAAAGCGUGGGGAGCAAACCGG